AUUGAACGCUGGCGGCAGGCCUAACACAUGCAAGUCGAACGGCAGCCCAGAAGAGCUUGCUCUUUGGGUGGCGAGUGGCGGACGGGUGAGUAAUGUCUGGGAAACUGCCCGAUGGAGGGGGAUAACUACUGGAAACGGUAGCUAAUACCGCAUAACGUCGCAACACCAAACUGGGGGACCUUCAGGCCUCACAUCAUCGGAUGUGCCCAGAUGGGAUUAGCUAGUAGGUGGGGUAAUGGCUCACCUAGGCGACGAUCCCUGGCUGGACUGAGAGGAUGACCAGCCACACUGGAACUGAGACACGGUCCAGACUCCUACGGGAGGCAGCAGUGGGGAAUAUUGCACAUGGGCGCAAGCCUGAUGCAGCCAUGCCGCGUGUAUGAAGAAGGCCUUCGGGUUGUAAAGUACUUUCAGCGGGGAGGAAGGCGGUGAGGUUAAUAACCUCGCCGAUUGACGUUACCCGCAGAAGAAGCACCGGCUAACUCCGUGCCAGCCGCCGCAGUAA
rnacentral:rRNA from 1 species